AAUAGAUACCCCGGUAGUCCACGCCGUAAACGAUGAGUGCUAAGUGUUAGGGGGUUUCCGCCCCUUAGUGCUGCAGCUAACGCAUUAAGCACUCCGCCUGGGGAGUACGGUCGCAAGACUGAAACUCAAAGGAAUUGACGGGGGCCCGCACAAGCGGUGGAGCAUGUGGUUUAAUUCGAAGCAACGCGAAGAACCUUACCAGGUCUUGACAUCCCAUUGACCACUAUGGAGACAUAGUUUUCCCUUCGGGGACAACGGUGACAGGUGGUGCAUGGUUGUCGUCAGCUCGUGUCGUGAGAUGUUGGGUUAAGUCCCGCAACGAGCGCAACCCUUGUUCUUAGUUGCCAUCAUUUAGUUGGGCACUCUAAGGAGACUGCCGGUGACAAACCGGAGGAAGGUGGGGAUGACGUCAAAUCAUCAUGCCCCUUAUGACCUGGGCUACACACGUGCUACAAUGGACGGUCAAACGGUUGCCAACCCGCGAGGGGGAGCUAAUCCGAUAAAACCGUUCUCAGUUCGGAUUGUAGGCUGCAACUCGCCUACAUGAAGCC
rnacentral:rRNA from 1 species